rnacentral:lncRNA from 1 species
UUCAGUCAAUACUUUCAAGGGAAGAAUAUCUUGUAAUUACAGCAAUAGGCUGACAGUCAGGAGAUCAAUAUUUAAUUCCUAACUGCUAUAGAUUAUUCCCCUUGGGCAAGUUAGAAUCCAUCUGAAAAGUGGCAGUAGCAGUGCUUUCCUUCUCUGUCAUGUCUGGUUAGUUUGUAAACUCAUGUGGACAGAAACUGUUUUGCUGAGACAUUUUUAAAAAUACAAACUCAACAGGUAUCUAUAAAUUUCACUCGUAUUUCGUAUUCUAUGUGAAUUUCCCUUAACGUUCCUUCUUUAUUAAUUAUUUGCCUUACAUUAUCUGAGGAAUCACUCAAACAUUCCUUAAUCUAUUACAGUCUCCUAUCAUUUAACCACUGGGUUAAAAAGUUUCUUUUUUUUUUUUUUAAGCUUUUCUUCAUAGCUCUGACUGUUAAUUUUGAGGUGAAAGAACUUCUGAUGAAUGCAAAGCGAUAUGUGUAGCUAUUGUUAAUGAUCAAGUAGUUAGUUGUUCAGAAGAUAACAAUGACAAGUUAGCUUAGCAGUUUUGACUGCAACAUUUAUAGAAUGAAUAGUAGGAGUUUGCCAACAAUGUUAACCUAGAAUACAAGAUAAUCACAAAAUUCAUUAGAUAGGAACACUUACCAUACACAAAGACCAAAGGAAUUUUGUUUUUCAAAUAUCUUGCUUACAUCUCCAGAGGGAAUGUUAUGCUAAACAGAUUGCCCCAUGCUGCUGGAGCCAACCUGAAUAUAUAAUGUAUCAAACUUUAAAUGUUUUUCACAAAAUAUUUGUGAAACUACCAGAUGCAUUUGUGGUUUCUUUAGAUAAAAAAAAAAGAGGACUGCAGCCUUUUCGAAAACUGAAUAUGCUGUCUUACUAAAUUGCAUUAAACCUCCUAAAUGCAAGUUCAUUCUGUGCAGUGUAGCCUGGACAAGAUAUGGAGACGGAGGAAAGUGGCACAAUGCCCUGGAAAGGAUGAGUUUAGAUUAGUGAGCAGCCACUUAGGUGAGUGAAUAGACUUCCAGAGCACAGCUUCAGAGCUAGGCCUCAUGAAAGAGCCAUGCUGCUCACGUCACUUUUGUCCACAGAGAGAUAGAAGAAUGGCACACGAGAGCCGUUACUCUGAAAUUUCUGUUAAGUUCACUGUACGAGUGAUGAAUUAGACUUGCCAGAUGCCUCCUGAAGAAAGAGAAGCCUUCUGGCAGUUUUCGGUAGUUUAUUUUUCCUUUCUUGUUUUUUGCAACUUUUAACAGUUCCCAAAGGGACUGACUCAUGCUAGACUGACUGGAUAACUUACUCUCUCUUACGAGGAUCUGUGCCAACAUGCCCAGGCUGACAUGACUGAAAAUCAGAGGCAAGGGGCUGCUACCCCACAUCAGUGAACUUCAGGAGGCCAAGCCUGUGACAGCACUGGAGAGAUAAAUAAACUAAUAAAACAACAAAUAAACA